UCCCCAGACUCGUCCACAAGCAGACAGACGAGAAGAGCCUGGUCAAGUAUGAUGAGCUGGACGAGGCCUACACGGAGGCAGACGAACUGCCUACCAAGUCGGAGAAAUCCUUCAUACCCAGCAAGUCCUACCUACCAACCAGCUGCCCCUGUAUGAGGCAGGAACCGGAGUUCAACUGGACACCAGAAACCGUUGGUGUGGUGGACAGCUCCUUCUUCUGGGGCUACAUUGUGACCCAGAUACCCGGGGGAUACCUGGCUUCCAGAGUGUCAGCCACAAGACUGUUUGGGCUGGCCAUUGGAAUCUCAGCGUGUCUGAACCUGUUGCUGCCCGGGGCUGCGGAGGUCCACUACGGACUGGUCAUCUCUGUCCGAAUUCUCCAAGGUCUGGUCGAGGGUGUGACGUACCCUGCUUGUCACGGCAUCUGGAGACACUGGGCCCCGCCCCUCGAGAGGUCUAUGUUGGCGACCAUCUCCUUCUGUGGUAAGUAC
rnacentral:sRNA from 1 species